UUCUAAUUAGGUCAGCCACUUCUCCCAUUCUCCCAUUUCCCACAUCUGUGUUGAAAAUUAAACGUGACCUUUAUAGAAGAUUUCAUCAGCAGAAAUAGGUGAAACUUCAGAUUUUGUUUUAACAAAAGCAAACUCAAAAUCAUCAUCACCGUUCUCAUCCUUAUCCAGUUCAGCUUUCUCAUUCAAAAUCUGUGCACAAUUGAAUGUCUCAUUAUUAUCAUUGAAGAAAAAUUUGAAAUUUGUUUCAUCUUCAGCGUUGAAUUCUUCGAUAACUCCAGCAGCAAUUUCGGUGAGAUUGGUGUUGGAAUUAUAACUCGGAGACUUCAGGGACAACAUCGGUUAUCAUUUCUUUGCUACAAGGAGAUAUUGAUAAAGGAGGCAGUUAAGCUUACACCCCAUAUAUAUACUUUGACCAUUAAGAAACUGAAGGAAGGGCAGCCCGUUUGUCUGACAAGGGUGGCUCAGUACACACGGGCAGUUCAAUUAGUAUGACGGCUCAUAGAAGAAGAUUGGAAAAGGCUAAAGGAAGACUAGUUACUCAUGAUGAGGUAUUUGAGGAAACCCACAUGAAGAAGUUGAAGGAUGAAACAAAAAUGACUUGGGUCGAUUCACGCGCUGAGACAACCCAUGAUACUUUCAAACGAAGCUUGGAGGAGUUCAUUCAAAAUCAGCCAAUUAAUGAUCAAGGUAGGCCAAUCCAACCACCUCAAGAGGAGACCGUGGACAUGUGGAUUAAGGCAGUUGGUGGCGUGCAUAAGGGGAUAGUAUGAUUUGGAGAUGUAUUGAUUGGUAUGGCGGGUCCCUGUCCCGACCUUUAUGAUGUUUAUGUACUCUUAGAUUCUUGUAUAUAGAUGCCAUAUAUAUAGAUGAUUGUAUGGCCUUGUUGGCUUAUGUUUUGAGUGUACAAACGAUCAUGUCGACCUUAUA